rnacentral:snoRNA from 1 species
GCUGUAAUGUGUGCAUAGUUUUCAUCUAUGUCUGGUAGCAGUGUCUGUCUGCGUUUUGCAUUCAAAUCUUGCUAUCCACGCAUAUGUCAUGCAGCCAAAGAUUAUCUUGGGAUCAUAGUACUGGUCUAGUGUUGUCUCUGGACACACCCAUCACUGGCCAGCCUCCAAACUCCCAUACACAA